AGCCCAACGCGGGACUUGAGCUCAAGAGCCCCAAGAUCGUGACCUGAGCCAAAGUCAAGACGCUUAACUGACUGAGCCACCCAGGUGCCCCUUAACCACCUUCAAAUGUACACUUCAGUGGCAUUAAGGACAUCACACUGUUGUGCAACCAUCACCACCAUCCGUCCCCAGAACACUUUUUAUCGUCAAGAUGGACUUUCUGGUAGAGGGGCAGGUCUCAUUCCCCCACCUGGUACCUGGACUUCUUUGACUUUCCACAUUCUUUAUAUCAUGGCCUUCUAAUCUCAGUGUUUUCUCCAGACUUCCAUGCAGAAGUCCAAUGCAAGGGAGGUUUGGGUGACCAAAUGGAUCAGGCAAAUGCUGUUCUACUUCAUCUCCAAAGUGAAGAAAUAAUAACAGGUGGCUUCUGGUUUCAUCCUACGAACACACACCAUUUAAAAGGUCCCCAAAGAACUGUAUCAAUUCUGUAUAAUUCAGGCCACCGUGGCGACUUGAGUUUCUCGAAUGUGGGCCAUCACAGUCUUGAACCAAAGUCCUUUCCACCCAUGGAGGAAGACGUAGGGCCUUCUCUAUGUAUGGGAAAGAGACCCAGACAAGCCAGUGUAGAAUCUGCCUGGCCUCCAGGAGAGAAGAAGAACCCGAAUUAGGGGACAUUUACGUUAAUUUUCCAAGGACUUGCCUGCAAAUGAAUUUUGCAUGAAAAUAAUUGUUAUUCUAGAUCAGAUGAUUUUCUCAUAUUUUAGUGAGAUCAAAGAAAGACCAUUUUAUUUCUGUCGAAGCUAAUCUUGUGGAGGAAAAAAAUUCUAAGUUCUGAGUACCACAUUAAAGAAGGUAAAGUUUUAGACUGACAGCUAACCUCAUGUGUGGAAACCUAUACAAAUGUGAAUAAAGAAAUGACUAAUUCAGAA